rnacentral:piRNA from 1 species
UGAAGUGUCCAAUCUGGAUUCUAAGUGUAC